rnacentral:rRNA from 1 species
AGAGUUUGAUCAUGGCUCAGAUUGAACGCUGGCGGCAUGCUUUACACAUGCAAGUCGAACGGCAGCACGGGGGCAACCCUGGUGGCGAGUGGCGAACGGGUGAGUAAUAUAUCGGAACGUACCCGGAAAUGGGGGAUAACGUAGCGAAAGUUACGCUAAUACCGCAUAUGCCCUUAGGGGGAAAGCGGGGGAUUCGCAAGAACCUCGCGUUUUCGGAGCGGCCGAUAUCGGAUUAGCUAGUAGGUGAGGUAAAGGCUCACCUAGGCGACGAUCCGUAGCUGGUCUGAGAGGACGACCAGCCACACUGGAACUGAGACACGGUCCAGACUCCUACGGGAGGCAGCAGUGGGGAAUUUUGGACAAUGGGCGCAAGCCUGAUCCAGCCAUGCCGCGUGAGUGAAGAAGGCCUUCGGGUUGUAAAGCUCUUUCAGCCGGAAAGAAAACGCACGGGUUAAUAACCUGUGUGGAUGACGGUACCGGAAGAAGAAGCACCGGCUAACUACGUG